UACGAAGGGGGCUAGCGUUGUUCGGAAUCACUGGGCGUAAAGGGCGCGUAGGCGGCUUUAUAAGUCGGGGGUGAAAGCCUGUGGCUCAACCACAGAAUUGCCUUCGAUACUGUAGAGCUUGAGACCGGAAGAGGUUAGUGGAACUGCGAGUGUAGAGGUGAAAUUCGUAGAUAUUCGCAAGAACACCAGUGGCGAAGGUGGCCUACUGGGCUGCACCUGACGCGUGAGCCGCGGAAAGCCAGGGGAGCGAACGGG
rnacentral:rRNA from 1 species